rnacentral:lncRNA from 1 species
UUCACACUUUUUUUGUUGUUUCUCAUAGAUAUUUCUCUGUUGGUAAUAUAUUUCAGGCCCCUUACACCUCUCAUGUGCCUCUCCAUUGCCUUUUGGGUGACCUACGACUUGAAUUUCUGGAGAGGAUGGUAUCCCGUGACUUUCAGUAAUGUAACACAACCAGAAGAAUACUGAUGCUGAACAGAGAGGCCUUUGUUUCAAUGGGAAAGUUACAUCUGAGAGGUGGCAUGCAGAAGUAGGCCUGGCAGUUAAGAAAACAGAGAGGAAAUAGGAAUAAUUUUGUAAGAAGAAGACACAAAGAAAAACUUGAGGGACACUGGGAUUGAUAACCAAAGAAGGUUUCAGAAUCAAAUCCCAAAGAAGGUUUCAGAAUCGCUUUCUCAGAGAUCUCCAAGACAUCUCUACUUUGGUGGAACUUCACACCUGGGAUUGUUAGCACAGAUGUUGAACUUGCUGAAUAUCUGAGGUCACUUACAGCACGUAUCUGGAUUUUCCUGGCCAUCGUAGAGCUAUUAAAUUUGAGCUGUCAGAAAAAUUCAGCACAGAGGAAGGCAGCAGCAGCAGUAGCAGCAGUAGCAGCAGCAGCAGCAGCAGCAGCAGCAGCCUAG